UGCAAACCACAACAAAACUCUGAAUUUAUUCCUUUUAUUGUAGAUAAGUGACAUUGCUGCUCCCAGAAACAAGCAGAGAUCCAGUAAGAUACGAACACAUUUUACAAUAAUAAACCUUAUCCAACAACUCCAGGAUGAUGAUUUAACAUGCUGGGGGACAGAAAAUAAAAAUCUUUACAAAAAUAUGUUACAUAAAGAAUACAAUACUACUUUACAUUGAUAAAAGCAUUUUUAAAUAUAUUAUUUUAGUAACCAAGUCAAUUAUUUGAAUGCACUUUUCAAUGUAAAUGAACAUUCCUUUAGGACUGUUCACUAUCUUACAUUAACAAAAUGUUUAUCAAACCAACACACUACAUUUCCCAUAACCCUCUCUGUCCUCACAUACAUUAGAAAUGUCUUCUUACCGACUAACAUGGCAUCACUUCAGAUAAAUGAAAACAGGGAAUAAGUUAUACAUUUACAGUUUUACACCAAAAAAAUUGUCAUUUAUUUUUCCCCCUUCGAUAAGAGUAGAAAUAUGUAUUUGAAGUGAUGUUUUUUUUGUUAAGUGAGUAAAACAUGCCCAGAAGUCUAUUCUACAAGCUGUGUCUUCUAGACUGAGUGAACAGGGAUCAGAGAAGAGCUUCAGUGGGUAAACCUCUCUACUCGUCAGGAAGGAUACAAACAGCUCUUCUAAGCCGGACACACGAAUCAAGUUGAGCUCAACGUUGGACAUCAUGUCCGUAUGCCAAACGGCUCCCUAUAUAGAACACUAUACUAUGGGCCCUAAUGCAAAGUAAAUGUACUUAAAUAGGUUAAUAGGGAGCAGUUUGGGACACAAGUCCAUUACUCAAGGUUAUUAUGUUGCUCUAAGAACACUCAGCUAUGGGUAACAAGCUGAUUCCCCACCCCCCAAAUACCACGUUUAAUUUCCAAUGCUUGUUGAGAACAUUCAAGGCGACUUGGUUGCUGCCAUCCAUUUGGGGAUUAAGAAGGGUCAAUAAUUACUCUCUCUGUGAGAUCAACGGCCUAAAACCAACAUCACCAAACAUCAACCUGUUAGAGGCUUGCAUCCCAAAUGGAACACUACAUAGUGCGCAUAGGUCCCGGUCAAAAGUAGUGUACUAUAUAUAUAGGGAAUAGGGUGCAUGGGCCCUGUUCAACAGUAGUGUACUAUAUAUAGGAAAUAGGGUGCAUGGGCCCUGGUCAACAGUAGUGUACUAUAUAGGGAAUAGGGUGCAUGGGCCCUGUUCAACAGUAGUGUACUAUAUAGGGAAUAGGGUGCAAUUUGGGACGUAACCUGGACAACGGCUGUGUUCGUUUUCCUUCUAGAACGUUCUGCUGUUUCUCUUCACAUACACAGUCCAAUGAGGUUGUGUUUUUAAUAUGUAUAUACGAUCACCGUUUCAGUGAGACAUACACAUUUAUAUUGCUUUGGAAAACACAAAUCUUGUCAUGGUAUGUAGUAAGCUUAAACAGGCAACAUGUUUGGUAUUUACAGGUGAGUACCUCAACUGUAGGGGGUAGGGACUGGAGAAGAUGGCUUCUAGGUAUCUCUGCAGUAGGGGGUAGGGACUGUGGAGAAGAUGGCUCCCAGCUAUCUCUACAGUAGGGGGUAGGGACUGUGGAGAAGAUGGCUCCAGCUACCUCUACUGUAGGGGGUAGGGACUGUGGAGAAGAUGGCUCCAGCUACCUCUACUGUAGG
rnacentral:lncRNA from 1 species